rnacentral:rRNA from 2 species
AAAUUGAAGAGUUUGAUCAUGGCUCAGAUUGAACGCUGGCGGCAGGCCUAACACAUGCAAGUCGAGCGGUAGCACAGAGAGCUUGCUCUCGGGUGACGAGCGGCGGACGGGUGAGUAAUGUCUGGGAAACUGCCUGAUGGAGGGGGAUAACUACUGGAAACGGUAGCUAAUACCGCAUAACGUCGCAAGACCAAAGUGGGGGACCUUCGGGCCUCAUGCCAUCAGAUGUGCCCAGAUGGGAUUAG